GACGAACGCUGGCGGCGUGCUUAACACAUGCAAGUCGAACGGAAAGGCCCCUUUGGGGGUACUCGAGUGGCGGACGGGUGCGUAACACGGAAGUAACCAGCCCUUUACUCUGGUAUAACUUCAGGAAACUGGGGCUAAUACCGGAUAGGAAUCCUUGCUGCUUGGUGGGGGUUGGAAAGCUUCUGGGGUGUUGGAUGGACUCGCGGCCUAUUAGCUUGUUGGGGGGGUAGUGGCUUACCAAGGCUUUGACGGGUAGCCCGCCAGAGAGGGCGACCGGCGACAUUGGGUCUGAGGGGAGGCCGAGGCGCCGACGGGAGGCAGCAGUGGGGAAGAUUGCACAAGGGGCGGAGGGCGGAUGCAGCAAGGCCGCGGGCGGGAUGGCGGCCUUGGGGUUGAAAACCGCUUGCAGCAGGAGCGAAGCUUGUGGUGACGGUACCUGCAGAAGAAGCACCGGCUAACUACGUG
rnacentral:rRNA from 1 species